CUUGGUGUUUUUAGCAUAGUGGAACCACACUGAUCCAUCUCGAACUCAGUUGUUAAACAUUAUAGCGGUGAUUAUACUUAAGAGGAAGCUCUUUGGGAAAGUAGCUCAAUGCCAAG
rnacentral:rRNA from 1 species